GUGCUCGCUUCUGCAGCACAUAUACUAAAACCGGAAUGACAUAGAGAAGAUUAGCAUGGCCCCUGCACAAGGAUGAGAUGCAAAUUUGUGAAACAUUCCAUAUUUUU
ensembl:snRNA U6 U6 spliceosomal RNA